UCAUAAAGCACAGAACUAACUAAAAGAAAAUACUUUAACAAGCAACAGCUAAAAAAGCAGAAAAGAAAAAUUAGAUGGCAAAAGCUUACUGCCUGAUGGUAGUAUUACUGCUUUCUCUCAUGGUAUCCUCCUGCACAUCAUUCUCAAAGACAACCAUUAUAAAUGGAGCAAGUCCGUGUGCCAAUGAUGCUGAUUGCAAAAACAUUCGGUGUCCCGGAGGCCCAGCUGCUCGUUGUUACAGCGGCUAUUGCCUCUGCAAGCCAAGGCUUCAAACUAGUGAAGGCAGCUUCGUAAAACUUUAUCAUUAUCAGCGUCAAUGCUGCAAAGAUGGUGAUUGCCAAACAGAUUGUAUCCCCGAAUGAAAAGCAAGAAAAAAAAAAAAAAAUCAUUGUUCGACAGGGUUAUGCAUUUGUCAGUGUUCUGCCUGACUAAAAGGUGUAUGUUUGCAUAAAUAAUAAGAAAUAAAAGCUUUUUAGGUUUCCUUAUA